rnacentral:rRNA from 1 species
UACGUAGGUGGCAAGCGUUGUCCGGAUUUACUGGGCGUAAAGAGCGCGCAGGCGGUCGUUCAAGUCGCGUGUGAAAGCCCCCGGCUCAACUGGGGAGGGUCACGCGAUACUGAUCGACUCGAAGGCAGGAGAGGGUAGCGGAAUUCCCGGUGUAGUGGUGAAAUGCGUAGAUAUCGGGAGGAACACCAGUGGCGAAGGCGACUACCUGGCCUGUUCUUGACGCUGAGGCGCGAAAGCUAGGGGAGCAAACGGG